rnacentral:lncRNA from 1 species
AACGGGUUGAAUGCCACCACCUGUGGAGGAUGUAGCGUCUCUAGACUUUUUACAUCUUUGAUACUAUCUAUGGCUGCUUAUUAUUUUUCCUACAUAGUGACUUUUAAUUCUCAGCCUUUUUUUUUUGUCUUCUUUUUGGUUCUGUAAUUAUGUCUCUAUGGGUUUUUUCUCACCAUUUAAUACUAAUCAAAUUUUUGUUUCAUUUUUCAUGUACUUCCCACUUCAAACAUCAAGUAAGGAUUUGACUUUAGUGACUUCUGCAAACUGUAGCUUUCGUAUUAAA